rnacentral:rRNA from 1 species
UACAGGGGGUGCAAACGUUGCUCGGAAUCAUUGGGCGUAAAGCGCACGUAGGCGGUCUGUUAUGUCGGAUGUGAAAGCCCUUGGCUUAACUGAGGAAGUGCAUCCGAAACUGGCAGGCUAGAGUACUAAAGAGGGUCGCGGAAUUCCCGGUGUAGAGGUGAAAUGCGUAGAUAUCUGGAGGAACACCGGUGGCGAAGGCGGCAUUCUGGACUGUAACUGACACUGAGGAACGAAAGCCAGGGGAGCAAACGGG